UUGUGUGGGAGUCUAAGUCUCUUUGAAGGUCUCCAAUAACUUGCUUUAUGGACCUGGGUGCUCUUGUAUAGGGUGCAUAUAUAUUUAGGAUAGUUAACUCUUCUGGUUGAAUUGAACCCUUUACCAACAGGUAGUGCUCUUCUUUCUCUUUUUUGAUCUUUGUUAAUUUAAAGUCUGUUUUGUUAGAAACUAGGAUUGCAAGCUCUGUUUUUUUCUGCUUUCUGUUUGCUUGGUAAAUUUUCCUCCAUCCCUUUAUUUUUAGCCUAUGUGUUUCUUUGUGUGUGAGAUGGGUCUCUUGAAUACAGCAUACUGAUGGGUCUUGGUUCUUUAUCUAGCUUGCCAUUCUGUGUCUUUCAUUGGAGAACACAUUGAGAUUUAAGAGUUUGGAGAAUCUGAUGAUUAUGUGUCUCGGGGAUGAUCUCCUCGUGGAGUAUCUCACUGGAGUUCUCUGGAUUUCUUGAAUUUGAGUGUUGGCCUGUCUUGCUAGAACUAACUUGGGGAAGUUAGUUCUCUUGGAUCCUAUGCUGAAAAAGAUCGUCUUCAAGCUCUGAGAUUCUUUUCUUGGCCUAUUCUGCUGUUAGUAAUUGUGAUUUCAUUGUGAAGUUCUUGUAGUGUGUUUUUCAGCUCUAACAGUCUGGCCACUCUUCUGCAGGGCUGCUGCAGUUUGCUGGGGGUUCGCACUAUACCCUAGUUGCCUCGGUUUUUCCCAUAGCUGGAGGUAUCAUCAGUGAAGUCUGUGAAACAGCAAAGAUGGCUGCCUGCCACUUCCUCUGGAAGCUCCAUCCCAGCAGGGUAAAUAUAAAUGUAGGUGCAUAAUAUAGACUUUUUCUGAAUGGUUUAUAAGUUGCAGUGCUGGGAUUACAAGCGUGAGCUACCACACCCAGCGAGGAAGCCAAGUUUAACGUGUGUGCUCCACUCCUCCAACCUGGCCAAAGGGCAGUCAUCAUCACUGGCCACUACUGACCACAGCCUUUAGAAACUCCCCUUGAACGUGCUGGGCUGACCUUCCUCUGAUCACAGGCAAGGCAAAGGAAAAUGACAGGCCCUUGCCUUCCCGGUCCUCAAGGGUCAGCUGUAAGAUGAUGUCAUAAAGCCGGAUCAGGUCCUGGGGCCGGGGGAAGCACUUGCUGUCAUCCUCUGGCUGCUGCUGCAGCAGAGCCCUCUGCAGACCUUUGGCCAUGCUCUCAUUACGCUUGAUUGCCAUUGACAGCUUGAUGUAAGUCAGGUUGUAGAUGAGCAUGAGAGUGUGGAGCAGAGUUGGCGAGUGCAAGUCGAGCCCAUCAACCUGGACAGCUGUCUCCGUGCUUUCACCAGUGAGGAAGAGCUAGGGGAAGAUGAGAUGUACUACUGUUCCAAGUGUAAGACCCACUGCUUAGCAACAAAGAAGCUGGAUCUCUGGAGGCUUCCACCCUUCCUGAUUAUUCACCUUAAGUGAUUUCAAUUUGUAAAUGAUCAGUGGAUAAAAUCACAGAAAAUUGUCAAAUUUCCUCGGGAAAGUUUUGAUCCGAGUGCUUUUUUGGUACCACGAGACCCAGCUCUCUGCCAGCAUCAACCACUCACACCCCAGGGGGAUGAGCUCUCCAAGCCCAGGAUUCUGGCAAGAGAGGUGAAGAAAGUGGAUGUGCAGAGUUUGGCUGGGGAAGAGGACAUGCUCCUGAGCAAAAGCCCAUCCUCACUCAGCGCUAACAUCAGCAGCAGCCCAAAAGGUUCUCCUUCUUCAUCAAGAAAAAGUGGAACCAGCUGUCCCUCCAGCAAAAACAGCAGCCCUAAUAGCAGCCCACGGACUUUGGGGAGGAGCAAAGGGAGGCUCCGGCUGCCCCAGAUUGGCAGCAAAAAUAAACUGUCAAGUAGUAAGAAGAACUUGGAUGCCAGCAAAGAGAAUGGGGCUGGGCAGAUCUGUGAGCUGGCUGACGCCUUGAGCCGAGGGCAUAUGCGGUGGGGGCAGCCAACCAGAGCUGGUCACUCCUCAGGACCACGAGGUAGCUUUGGCCAAUGGAUUCCUUUAUGAGCAUGAAGCAUGUGGCAAUGGCUACAGCAAUGGUCAGCUUGGAAACCACAGUGAAGAAGACAGCACUGAUGACCAAAGAGAAGACACUCAUAUUAAGCCUAUUUAUAAUCUAUAUGCAAUUUCAUGCCAUUCAGGAAUUCUGAGUGGGGGCCGUUACGUCACUUAUGCGAAAAACCCAAACUGCAAGUGGUACUGCUACAAUGGCAGCAUCUGUGAGGAACGUCACCCUGAUGAAAUUGACACCGACUCUGCCUACAUUCUUUUCUAUGAGCAGCAGAGGAUAGACUACGCACAAUUUCUGCCAAAGAUUGAUGGCAAAAAGAUGGCAGACACAAGCAGUAUGGAUGAAGACUUUGAGUCUGAUUACAAAAAGUACUGUGUGUUACAGUAAAGCUACCACUCUGGCUGCUAGACAGCUUGGUUGGGAGGAAGAUGACUCCUUGUAGCUGAUACUUGGCAAAAGUGUCACUGAGAGGCAAGCUAAAUGUAGUUAUUUUAUCCUGUUAGAAUACAAAUUCUAAUUAAAAUAGUUAACUUUAAGAGUAGCAGUAAUUUUAUUUUGAAGUCUCAUGCAAGUUGUCCGAUAGAGAACUUUCAGGCAGAUCCCACCAUUAGCCUGUAAACAAAAGGUUUGGCACCAGCCACCUGGGACCAAAUAAGAAUUCAAUUGUGCUUGUCCAGAUAUGAACAAAUAUGUAGUGAGUAUAGAGUUUAUCAAUAAUCAUAACAAAUAUUAAAGAUUUCCUUGGAGUCAAAGUAAAAAACAAAAAAUUGUAAUGUUGUCUAGGGAUGACAUGAUAUGCUACCUCCUUUUUCCUGAAGUUUUAUUCCAUUCUGUUGACAAGAUGGUGAAAGCAAGAUCAUGAAGGUGUGCAAAUGAUUCUUACGGCAUGGGCGAGGAUUUUUCAAUUUAUUUUUUAAAGUUUCCAUACCCUUUCUUUGUCUUUCUUGCUUUUUGUUUUUGCCGUUGUGUUUAAGUUUGAGACACAACCAGUCAUUGGUGGCAGGGGCAUAGAGUGGUCAGUCUGAAAGGGAGGCUCUCUUAAGAGCUAUGUGCCUUCUACUCAGAGGGAGACCCAGUAGAAAGAAAAACAUCCUGGGAAAUCCAGCUACCAUGGCCCUCCCAGUGGAGGCAUCUUACAUUUAGGAUACUUCAGGUAUCCUCAGAAAUGUAUUCUGCACCCCCGGCCCCGCCCAUGCUGAGGGAAGGGGAGCAGUUGCCAAUAUUUGCACCAUCUUCACAUGCACAUGUUGCAACAAGAGCUUCUGGGAAGGUAAGCGGCAUCGGAGCUAGAUCACGUUUCACAAUUAGUGGUGGUUCUUUUCCAUGUUUAUUUUGCACUUUAAAAAAGAGAGAACACAUGCAAAUGAACUUGCUUGUGUGUAUUUGAUGGCUCCAAGGGCUAUGAAUUACAAACAAAACACAUCCCAGACAUUAGGAGUUCAUAAGUAUAUUUAAUGAAAUUGGUGGUUUUAGGAAGUCAACUUUAGUUUUGCUUUGUUUGCAUGUCCACUAAUUUUUUUAUUUUGAUAUUAGUCUUUUUAAAAAAAUUUUACAGUAGUCAUUGAAAGUUAUGUUUCUUUGUUUACUUCAUUUUUUCCUCUAAUUAUUCAAGACUGGGACAAAAGUAUAAAUAUUAUUUAUUUCAGGUAGAAUUUUUUUCAUGUAGUUUUUUAAUAUAUACUUGAAGGAAAUGUUUCACCUUAUUUUUGGUCUUUGUUUAUUCAUUUAGACCCUGCAAGUUGAUUCUCAUUAAUUGUCAGAUUCCACUACACUUUCUUCCUCAUAGGUAGUAAUUACCAGUGUAACUAAGCAUUUGUGUUCUGAUAUCUGAGGCCAGUAACUAUUAAUAUCUAGUUCUCAGAGCAUUUGGAAAGGUUAUCUUAAAUGGCUACCUAAAUUGAAAUCCUUUUCAGAAAAAAUAUAAUUGCAAAUAGGUAGGAGUGGCCUAAAUUAUCUAAUGUAAUAAAGUCAGACAAAAUGCAUACUUUAUAGUUUCAAGAUUUUCAGUAUAUAAAAUCUGUCCUUUCCUACCUGGACAUGUCCCAUUAAAAAGUGGAAGAUCUUAAAUAAUUUCUUUACAGAUGUUUUAUUUAAGCAGGUAGCACAAUCUACUAAUGUUGUUUGAUCUGUGUUUGUUAUACUGGUUGUAAUUAAUUUUUUUAAUUCAUGAACUAGCGGAAAAUUUAUUAAAUUAACUAUUAACCACAUUCACCUUGUAAAUGACUGUAUAAAACUUGUUGACAAUGCACUGACUUUAGAAAGAUGUUAAUGUGCAUAAAUAGAGUGUAAAUAAAAUAGUGUUGAUGUACUGAAAUAUGAACUGUAUAAAAAGUAUUGGUAAUUGUAUAUGGGGUGUACCUAUUUAUCUGUAACUGUUAUCCAAACAAAUUAAAUACUGUGGAUGCCUCUAUGUACUGUUUUUCCUCAUACAAGUAAACACAGAA